CAGAGGACUUCAAGUUAACGCCAUUGCCUCAACAGAGAGAGCGUGCUCAUGGGAAAGUGAAAUAACAGGAAACUGACCCCAUCUGGUCUAAUGCACUCAUCAUCUUUAUUAAAUCAAACCGUUUUAAUAUUCCUUUACAUCUGUUGCUAAGGAAUUAAAUACUGAAUAUGAGUACUACAGAAACACAACUAAGAGCGUAACUGUGAACUUGGUGUACUUUUUGGCGUCGAGGUCUGGAAUUGGGCUCAUAGUGUCCCAAGGGUUGGAUUUCUGGAGUGUUUCAUUUCCAGAAAGGUCAAGCGUCCUGCUCUCGUGUUUGUCCAUUUCUGGGGCAGACUCAGACUGAGAGGCUCCAGAUAUGAAAAGUUUCUGCUUGUUUGAAAGUUAGAGUGCUCAGGGGGAAAUCAUCAGGAGAGCGGAAGCUGGUGCUGAGGUGACAGGCGAACGAGUCGGGAAGUGACUUAGGGCUAAGUACUGAUAAGGAACUAUGUUCUAUGUUAAGAACUAAGUUCUUAGUUAAAGAAGGAACUGGUGAAGACUUACCUUUAAUACAGAAGAAUGCAGGUGGAGUUUUCCAUUCGUCAUAUUUAUAUUAAUUUUAGUACAGUGUUUUGUAAAGAAUAAGUAGAUCUUGAACCUUUCUCACAUAGUCACAAACUGUAAUGUAUAUUAAUGGGAUUUUAUGGUCUAUAGAUGUUGUUCAUCUAAUUCAACUCAGCUUGAGCUUUUCUCAAAGAAGAAAAAAUAAGUUCAGUCUUCAGAUGUACGCAGAGCUGGUGGAGACAUUCCACAAAGACUCGCAACUGUAAUUGCAGCAAAACGUGGUUCUACAAUGUAUUGACUCAAAAGGCCUAAUGACACCCUUUUAAAAUGUUUAUUUGUUAAAAAUAUGAAAGCUGUGUAACAGUUUUCUUCCACUUCAUAAUCAUGCACUUUCUUCCAUAAAAUCCCAAUAAUAGACUGAAGUUUGUGGUGGUAAGGUGAUGUGAAAUAGCUCAAGGGGCAUGAACUUGUGUACAUUUGCAAGGUGCAGUAAACUUGGAUGACAGAAAAUU